rnacentral:tRNA from 3 species
AAGGUAUUAGUAAAGUAAUUACGUAACUUUGUCAAAGUUAAAUCAUAGACUAAACAUCUAUAUAUCUUA